rnacentral:rRNA from 1 species
ACGCUGGCGGUGCGCCUUAUGCAUGCAAGUCGAGCGAAGCUUUUCAGUAGUUUACUACAGAAAAUGACUGAGCGGCGAACGGGUGAGUAACGCGUGAGCAACCUACCUUAGUUACUGGGAUAGCCCGAGGAAACUCGGAUUAAUACCGGAUAUUCUUAUUUAAUCACAUGAUUUUUUAAGGAAAGGUCAGCCGAACUAAGAUGGGCUCGCGUUCUAUCAGCUAGUUGGUAGGGUAAUGGCCUACCAAGGCUACGACGGAUAGCUGGUCUGAGAGGACGAUCAGCCACACUGGGACUGAGACACGGCCCAGACUCCUACGGGAGGCUGCAGCAGGGAAUAUUGCGCAAUGAGCGAAAGCUUGACGCAGCGACACCGCGUGUGGGAUGACGGAUCUAGGUUUGUAAACCACUUUCAGGAGGGAAGAAAAUGACGGUACCUCCACAAGAAGCCCCGGCCAACUACGUGCCAGCAGCCGCGGUAAUACGUAGGGGGCGAGCGUUGUCCGGAUUUAUUGGGCGUAAAGAGCUCGUAGGCGGUUCAACAAGUCGGUCGUGAAAGUUCAGGGCUCAACCCUGAAAUGUCGAUCGAUACUGUUGUGACUAGGAUACGGUAGAGGUGAGUGGAAUUCCGAGUGUAGCGGUGAAAUGCGUAGAUAUUCGGAGGAACACCAAUUGCGAAGGCAGCUCACUGGGCCGCUAUCGACGCUGAGGAGCGAAAGCUAGGGGAGCAAACAGGAUUAGAUACCCUGGUAGUCCUAGCUGUAAACGAUGGAUACUAGACGUAGGAAUUGGAUUAACGAUUUCUGUGUCGUAGCUAACGCGUUAAGUAUCCCGCCUGGGGAGUA